rnacentral:misc_RNA from 1 species
GCAACUUCAAAUCCUGAUUUUAUAUGCAUGUUUAUAGAAAGCAAAUGAAAACCCCAUAGAUUGCAAGAUAUUUUAUAUCUGAAAUUUGAUUUCCUAUUUUACAAUCAAAUUUUAAUGCAUUACAAACCUUAAAACUUAACAAAAUAAAAUCAAAAGCAAAUUCUAAUACAAAUAAUUCUAGUUGAUCAUGUAUUUUCUUGUUUUGAUCUCACAGAAUAUCUUUAUUUAGUUUAUCAUGUUUCUACAACUAAAUUAAGAAAAGUAAUGGUCCAUGUAUGUACAAGAAUAAAGCAAAAUUAACAAAACUACAGUAAUAAUAUCUAUGUAGGUUUUGAUGGAGGAGUAAUCUUGAUGACAAGUCCAGGGAAAACAUCAUCUGGAUCAUGGAUAUGAGGGUUCUGCUCCACUAUAAAGGGAUCACCACACUUAUCGCUAAUGGUGUGAAGGGUUUCUCCUUCUUGAACAACAUAAAUCUCAUCGCAAGGUCGCUCCAAGAUUUGAUUGCCUCUGAUAAUCUCAUAAGGAUCGUACGACGCUUGAGACGUUUCUCUCAUAUAGCUUUGCAACAUGAGGAUCACAAGGACAAGGACGCAGUACCAUGAAGCUGCAUCAGCUAUGGACAUUAGUGUGAAGGCAGACUUCUUCCAGAGUUUGGAAGCCAUGAGAAAGAGAGAG